UACAGGGGGGGCAAGCGUUGUUCGGAAUUACUGGGCGUAAAGGGCCAGUAGGCGGCCAACUAAGUCCGACGUGAAAUCCCCAGGCUUAACCUGGGAACUGCGUCGGAUAUUGGAUGGCUUGAAUUCGGGAGAGGGAUGCAGAAUUCCAGGUGUAGCGGUGAAAUGCGUAGAUAUCUGGAGGAAUACCGGUGGCGAAGGCGGCAUCCUGGACCGACAUUGACGCUGAACGGCGAAAGCUAGGGGAGCAAACGGG
rnacentral:rRNA from 1 species